rnacentral:rRNA from 1 species
AUUGAACGCUGGCGGCAUGCCUUACACAUGCAAGUCGAACGGCAGCACGGGAGCAAUCCUGGUGGCGAGUGGCGAACGGGUGAGUAAUAUAUCGGAACGUGCCCAGUCGUGGGGGAUAACGUAGCGAAAGCUACGCUAAUACCGCAUACGAUCUAUGGAUGAAAGCGGGGGAUCGCAAGACCUCGCGCGAUUGGAGCGGCCGAUAUCAGAUUAGGUAGUUGGUGAGGUAAAGGCUCACCAAGCCGACGAUCUGUAGCUGGUCUGAGAGGACGACCAGCCACACUGGGACUGAGACACGGCCCAGACUCCUACGGAGGCAGCAGUGGGGAAUUUUUGGACAAUGGGCGCAAGCCUGAUCCAGCAAUGCCGCGUGCAGGAUGAAGGCCUCGGUUGUAAC